rnacentral:piRNA from 1 species
UUCAAUUAGGUCCUCCUGCAGAAGUUGCCUU